rnacentral:rRNA from 1 species
UAGGUUCUACCAACUCAUUAAACAACUCUCGUUUUGAACCUGGCAUAUUGGCUCGGCCUAACAACAUCUUCAUAAAGUUUGACCUCAAAUCAGGUAGGACUACCCGCUGAACUUAAGCAUAUCAAUAAGCGGAGGAAAAGAAACCAACAGGGAUUGCCUUAGUAACGGCGAGUGAAGCGGCAAAAGCUCAAAUUUGAAAUCUAGUACCUUCGGUGCUCGAGUUGUAAUUUGAAGAUGGUAACUUUGGAGUUGGCCCUUGUCUAUGUUCCUUGGAACAGGACGUCACAGAGGGUGAGAAUCCCGUCUGACGAGGUGAUCCAACUCUAUGUAAAGUGCUAUCGAAGAGUCGAGUUGUUUGGGAAUGCAGCUCUAAGUGGGUGGUAAAUUCCAUCUAAAGCUAAAUAUUGGCGAGAGACCGAUAGCGAACAAGUACAGUGAUGGAAAGAUGAAAAGAACUUUGAAAAGAGAGUGAAAAAGUACGUGAAAUUGUUGAAAGGGAAGGGUAUUAGAUCAGACUUGGCGUUUUAUGAUUAUCUUCUCUUCUUGAGUUGUGCACUCGUAUUGCGCUGGGCCAGCAUCGAUUCGGAUGGCAGGAUAAUGGCAAUUGAAUGUGGCAUCCACUUCGGUGUAUGUGUUAUAGCUUUUGUUGAUGCUGCCUAUCUGGAUCGAGGACUGCGUCUUU